rnacentral:rRNA from 1 species
GAUGAACGCUGGUGGCGUGCCUAAUACAUGCAAGUCGAGCGAACAGAUGAGGAGCUUGCUCCUCUGACGUUAGCGGCGGACGGGUGAGUAACACGUGGAUAACCUACCUAUAAGACUGGGAUAACUUCGGGAAACCGGAGCUAAUACCGGAUAAUAUAUUGAACCGCAUGGUUCAAUAGUGAAAGACGGUUUUGCUGUCACUUAUAGAUGGAUCCGCGCCGCAUUAGCUAGUUGGUAAGGUAACGGCUUACCAAGGCAACGAUGCGUAGCCGACCUGAGAGGGUGAUCGGCCACACUGGAACUGAGACACGGUCCAGACUCCUACGGGAGGCAGCAGUAGGGAAUCUUCCGCAAUGGGCGAAAGCUUGACGGAGCAACGCCGCGUGAGUGAUGAAGGUCUUCGGAUCGUAAAACUCUGUUAUUAGGGAAGAACAAAUGUGUAAGUAACUAUGCACGUCUUGACGGUACCUAAUCAGAAAGCCACGGCUAACUACGUG